GAUGAACGCUGGCGGCGUGCCUAAUACAUGCAAGUCGAGCGAACAGAUGAGGAGCUUGCUCCUCUGACGUUAGCGGCGGACGGGUGAGUAACACGUGGAUAACCUACCUAUAAGACUGGGAUAACUUCGGGAAACCGGAGCUAAUACCGGAUAAUAUAUUGAACCGCAUGGUUCAAUAGUGAAAGACGGUUUUGCUGUCACUUAUAGAUGGAUCCGCGCCGCAUUAGCUAGUUGGUAAGGUAACGGCUUACCAAGGCAACGAUGCGUAGCCGACCUGAGAGGGUGAUCGGCCACACUGGAACUGAGACACGGUCCAGACUCCUACGGGAGGCAGCAGUAGGGAAUCUUCCGCAAUGGGCGAAAGCCUGACGGAGCAACGCCGCGUGAGUGAUGAAGGUCUUCGGAUCGUAAAAUUCUGUUAUUAGGGAAGAACAAAUGUGUAAGUAACUAUGCACGUCUUGACGGUACCUAAUCAGAAAGCCACGGCUAACUACGUG
rnacentral:rRNA from 1 species